UACGUAGGGUGCAAGCGUUAAUCGGAUUUACUGGGCGUAAAGGGCGCGUAGGCGGCCCUCCUAGUCGCGUGUGAAAGCCCCGGGCUCAACCUGGGAAUUGCGCGCGAAACGGGGGGGCUUGAGUUCGGGAGAGGGGCGUGGAAUUCCCAGUGUAGAGGUGAAAUUCGUAGAUAUGGGGAAGAACACCGGUGGCGAAGGCGGCGCUCUGGACCGAGACUGACGCUGAGGCGCGAAAGCGUGGGGAGCAAACAGG
rnacentral:rRNA from 1 species